GGGUGAGUAACGCGUAACCAACCUGCCCUUCAGAGGGGGAUAACAACGGGAAACCGUUGCUAAUACCGCGUACGAAUGAACUUCGGCAUCGAAGCUCAUUGAAAGGUGGCCUCUAUUUAUAAGCUAUCGCUGAAGGAGGGGGUUGCGUCUGAUUAGCUAGUUGGAGGGGUAACGGCCCACCAAGGCAAUGAUCAGUAGCCGGUCUGAGAGGAUGAACGGCCACAUUGGGACUGAGACACGGCCCAAACUCC
rnacentral:rRNA from 1 species